rnacentral:rRNA from 1 species
GACGAACGCUGGCGGCGUGCUUAACACAUGCAAGUCGAACGGAAAGGCCCUGCUUUUGUGGGUUUCUCGAUUGGCGAACGGGUGUGUAACACGCGUGUAACCUGCCCUUGACUUUGGGAUAACUUCAGGAAACUCGGUCUCAUACCGGAUAUGAGCUUCUGCUGCAUGGUGGGCGUUGGAAAGUUUCGGCGGUUGGGGAUGGACUCGCGGCUUAUCGGCUUGUUGGUGAGGUAGUGGCUUACGAAGGCUUUGACGGGUAGGCGGCCUGAGAGGGUGGCCGGGCACAAGAGGACUGAGGGACGGAGCAGAAUGGAACGGGAGGCAGCAGUGGAGAAUAUGGCAGAGUGGGCGGAAGUCUGAUGCAGAAGCGCCGCGAGCGGGAUGAUGGGCUUUGGGGUGUGAACAGAUUUGGAAUGUGACGAAGAGAGAGUGACGGUAAUGGGUAAAGAAGCAACGGCUAACUACGUG